CCUACGGGAGGCAGCAGUGGGGAAUAUUGCACAAUGGGGGAAACCCUGAUGCAGCGACGCCGCGUGAGUGAAGAAGUAAUUCGUUAUGUAAAGCUCUAUCAGCAGGGAAGAAAAUGACGGUACCUGAGUAAGAAGCCCCGGCUAACUACGUGCCAGCAGCCGCGGUAAUACGUAGGGGGCAAGCGUUAUCCGGAUUUACUGGGUGUAAAGUGAGCGUAGACGGCAGUGCAAGUCUGGAGUUAAAGGCGGGGGCUCAACCCCCGGACUGCUCUGGAAACUGUACGGCUGGAGUGCAGGAGAGGUAAGUGGAAUUCCUAGUGUAGCGGUGAAAUGCGUAGAUAUUAGGAGGAACACCAGUGGCGAAGGCGGCUUACUGGACUGUAACUGACGUUGAGGCUCGAAAGCGUGGGGAGCAAACAGGAUUAGAUACCCUAGUAGUC
rnacentral:rRNA from 1 species